rnacentral:rRNA from 1 species
UACGUAGGUGGCAAGCGUUGUCCGGAUUUACUGGGCGUAAAGAGCGCGCAGGCGGCUGGGCAAGUCCGAUGUGAAAGCUUCCGGCUUAACUGGAAAAUUGCAUCGGAAACUGCUCGGCUUGAAGGUGGGAGAGGGUAGCGGAAUUCCCCGGUGUAGUGGUGAAAUGCGUAGAUAUCGGGAGGAACACCAGUGGCGAAGGCGGCUACCUGGCCCACUCUUGACGCUGAGGCGCGAAAGCUAGGGGAGCAAACGGG